rnacentral:misc_RNA from 1 species
GGUCUUCUCUUGGUACAAGAUUGGAAUGCAAAAUCUUCCCUGCUGCUUUGAAUUAUAUCUUGCAUACUAAUGAACCCAUCAUUGUUAUGAUCAACAGAUUCCAGUGAGAUCUGUGGAGAGAUUGGAUUCAUCAUACAAUUAUAAGCUGGAUGAUUACCUGGAAAUGAUGAUGGAACCCCAUAAUUAUUAUUUCCUUGCCACUGAUUCUCCCUAUUCCUUGAUGAGUCCACUAGAUUUUGUGCCAGUUGAGCUUUCACUUGCAUCAAUUGGGCCUGCAAGCAUGCCACCUGUUGUUGCAAGGCGAAAAUAUGAGCAAC